CCUGGUGGCUCAGAGGUUAAAGCUUCUGCCUGCAAUGCAGGAAACCUGGGUUCAAUCCCUGGGUCAGGA
rnacentral:tRNA from 1 species